GCGUGUUAUAAAUUUUUUCGCUGCAACGUUUAAUUCAGACCAAACAUAUCCUCUCAAAAAUCUAUACCAACUUCGAAUUUCAUAGCCCGCGCUCAGUACUCUCUUCUUCUCCCCUCUGUUUUCCCUGCGUCUCGCCCAUUGCUGGUGGUUGUCGCCAGUCGCCGGUGGGUCUAUUUACUCGCCUCCUCACCGGUGGUUCCCUGCUCGAAAAACCACCGCUGAAAUUACUUCCUGCUCGAAAAACCACCGCUGAAAUCAGGAAGUAAACCAAUCCUCGCAGCGGCAAUUAAACCAUCUUUUAUCCUCCUCUUAAACACAGGAUGAUGGGCAUGGUGGUGUUUGGGUUCAUAGCAACAAACAAGCAUUCCAAGAUUGUGAACCAUAUGCUUUCCUUGAAGAAUGGUUGGUAAAGAAGGUAGAUGAAUAUUGGGAUGCGUAUUUUGAUCCAGUACAGCUGAGUACAAGGAUCAAAUUGUAAGCUCUUGCAUUCAAGUUCUCGAUCUCUUAUCAACAGUUGAACACGCCUUCAGGCAGAGGCUUUCCCUUGGCAUCUCUACUUUGGUCUCCGUUCUGCCUCGCGUAGCUGAAAUACCUUUUCAUCCUGUUCAAUCCCAAAUGUUAAAGCUCAUAUUGGUUGGCAUCUCAAGUUCCCCUGGAGUAGUAUCUACCAAACUUGUUGAAGCAAUAAGUGGUUCCUUGAAGAUAAUGCUGGAGAUAUGGGUCUAUACUCCGAGGAAUGCGCCUUAUGCUAGUGAGGAAAUUGAUUUGGUUUGUGAGCAAUGGGAUAAGUUUUUUACCAACAAGUAUUUAUUAUUGGCCUGAGCAUGCUUGAUUGAGUUGGUUUAGAUGUUAUAGCACAAUCUUUUAUAUUAAAAUGUAUAUGUACAUUGAAAUUGGAACAUAUAUUUAAAUGUAGUACGUGCACUUUGGUUUUGGGAUAUAUAUAUAUAUAUAUAUAUAUAUAUAUAUAUAUAUGUAUACAAAACCCCAAUUAUUGUUUUUAUAUUUGUUCUACAGGUUGCGAUA